UGGGGAAUAUUGGACAAUGGGCGAAAGCCUGAUCCAGCCAUGCCGCGUGUGUGAAGAAGGUCUUCGGAUUGUAAAGCACUUUAAGUUGGGAGGAAGGGCAUUAACCUAAUACGUUAGUGUUUUGACGUUACCGACAGAAUAAGCACCGGCUAACUCUGUGCCAGCAGCCGCGGUAAUACAGAGGGUGCAAGCGUUAAUCGGAAUUACUGGGCGUAAAGCGCGCGUAGGUGGUUUGUUAAGUUGGAUGUGAAAGCCCCGGGCUCAACCUGGGAACUGCAUCCAAAACUGGCAAGCUAGAGUACGGUAGAGGGUGGUGGAAUUUCCUGUGUAGCGGUGAAAUGCGUAGAUAUAGGAAGGAACACCAGUGGCGAAGGCGACCACCUGGACUGAUACUUACACUGAGGUGCGAAAGCGUGGGGAGCAAACA
rnacentral:rRNA from 1 species